rnacentral:rRNA from 1 species
GACGAACCGUCCAAACGUUAUUCGGAAUCACUGGGCUUACAGAGUUCGUAGGCGGUCUGGAAAGUUGGGUGUGAAAUCCCUCGGCUCAACCGAGGAACUGCGCUCAAAACUACCCGACUCGAGGGAGAUAGAGGAAAGCGGAACUGAUGGUGGAGCGGUGAAAUGCGUUGAUAUCAUCAGGAACACCGGUGGCGAAGGCGGCUUUCUGGGUCUUUUCUGACGCUGAUGCACGAAAGCUAGGGGAGCAAACGGG